UUUUGGACCAUUGACAUUCUGAGGGAGAACUCAACUGAUACUCAAGUGAUCAAAGUCCUCGAUCUCUUACCACUAUCCCAAGUAGUACAAGUAGUCAAGAAAUUCGAUCUUCUGGUCGGGGACUACACCAUCAAUCAUAUGAACCGUUGUCUGAGCAAGAAAUCGGAAGGAGGACUAGUGCUACCUAUGACAUGGCCUGUUGAUCGAGCUAAUUCUAGAAGCAACUACUCUAGUAAUGAUCUAGCAACACAACUCUCCACAAUCAGUUUGAGGAAUGAUCCUAGAAGAAGGAAACAUAUGAAGAGGUGGGAGAAUCACCGUGGCAGGACUCGCAUUUAACUAUCAUAUGAAGGGGUUUUCAAGCACAUAAUUCUCCUCUUUUUUGGUCGACAGCAGUUUUUUGUAUUGUCUUAGUAACUAAGCAACGGUAGUUAACAACACAAUCGACAUGUUUAACCAACUAAUCAUUCUUGCCUUUUGGGAGAACCUUUGAAAACGAGGAGAUGCCUGACUUAUUGAAUGAGUUCUCCCAAUUCUGUCCAUCGAAAUGCCUCGUCUCCACAUGUUUUAGUGUUCCAGGAUCUAUGCAUUUGUAUGAAACAGCUACGCCGUCUGGAUUCGACCUUGGAAUGUAGAAUGAUGUAAUUCCACAAACUUUGCAGAAUAUGUGCUUCGCUGUGUGUGUGCCAAAUGUGUAUGUUGUUAGGAACUGUUUGGAAUCUUCGUUGAGCUCGAAUUUUUGAGAUGGGACAACGAAGUGAGGGUUUCCUCUCAUCGAGCAAUCGGAACAGUUGCAUUGCCAGACUACAACACUUGAAGGAGCUUCAGCUUUCCACCUUACUCUUUUGCAAUGACAUCCACCACUGUGCAUGACAAUCUCAGAGUCCAUUGAAGAUGUAUCU